CCUACGGGUGGCAGCAGUGGGGAAUAUUGCACAAUGGGGGAAACCCUGAUGCAGCGACGCCGCGUGAGUGAAGAAGUAUUUCGGUAUGUAAAGCUCUAUCAGCAGGAACGAGACAAGACGGUACCUGACUAAGAAGCCCCGGCUAACUACGUGCCAGCAGCCGCGGUAAUACGUAGGGGGCAAGCGUUAUCCGGAAUCACUGGGUGUAAAGGGAGCGUAGACGGCUGUGCAAGCCUGAAGUGAAAGUCGGGGGCCCAACCCCUGGACUGCUUUGGGAACUGUACGGCUGGAGUGCAGGAGAGGUAAGUGGAAUUCCUAGUGUAGCGGUGAAAUGCGUAGAUAUUAGGAGGAACACCAGUGGCGAAGGCGGCUUACUGGACUGUAACUGACGUUGAGGCUCGAAAGCGUGGGGAGCAAACAGGAUUAGAUACCCCUGUAGUC
rnacentral:rRNA from 1 species